CCUACGGGAGGCAGCAGUCGAGAAUCAUUCACAAUGGGGGAAACCCUGAUGGUGCGACGCCGCGUGGGGGAAUGAAGGUCUUCGGAUUGUAAACCCCUGUCAUGUGGGAGCAAAUUAAAAAGAUAGUACCAUAAGAGGAAGAGACGGCUAACUCUGUGCCAGCAGCCGCGGUAAUACAGAGGUCUCAAGCGUUGUUCGGAAUCCCUGGGCGUAAAGCGUGCGUAGGCUGUUUCGUAAGUUGGGUGUGAAAGGCGCGGGCUCAACCCGCGAACGGCACCUGAUACUGCGAGACUAGAGUAAUGGAGGGGGAGCCGGAAUUCUCGGUGUAGCAGUGAAAUGCGUAGAUAUCGAGAGGAACACUCGUGGCGAAGGCGGGUUCCUAGACAAUAACUGACGCUGAGGCACGAAGGCGAGGGGAGCGAAAGGGAUUAGAUACCCGAGUAGUC
rnacentral:rRNA from 1 species